AGCAAACCUGCUGAGCUACCCGCCUUACCUUCGCCACCUGGAGCGGUUUCUGAUGCUCCAAACCUCCCUGGAGACGAAAGCCCCACGGUGCUCCACCAGACAAUGCCUUUUAACCUGUUGAUAGAGGCUGGAUGAUUCCCUUGCUAGAGCAACGCUGCCACUAUCAAUGCUGCAGGAGGUUACCAAUGAUAGCUGCUCCUUUUGGCAGCCUUGCUCUGCACCUGUCUCCAGACCUCAGGACAGCAACCAAGAUCAGUCCUGGGUCAGACAAAUGUCACCCUCUCUCCUGGAGAUGGUAUCAGAUCUACCAGAACGCCACAGCUAAAGCAAAUUCUCAACAACAAGAGAGCUGUGGCUUCAGUAGACAGCCCCAUACAACAAGUCAGGAAGAGGUCUGUUAAUUCAUUCUUUCCAGGACAAAAGUUGGCUGUCUUUCGAGAAAAGUAAAAAGCCCAAUUCCCCCUCAUACGCUGAACUCCUGACCCCAGUUUGUGACAGACUGUGCUGCAUCUCUCUACCAGGACUCCCGCUACCCUGGGAGAGAUGAAUCCUGUGUCAUCUGCUUCAUGACACAGAGAUGGCAUCGCGCCAGGUGGCCCCUAAUAACCUCCAUGUGCUGUCACUAGUGAGUCACACAUACACCUGCAAACUCAGCACAAAACAGUGGGGUAAAAAAACAUGUUAUACAACAUGUAACUCUAUCCAAGCUGGGAUUGGUCAAAGAUAAAACCAGACUUAUAGUUCUCUUCUCUGGUUGCUCGGCUGUUUUUGUUGUUUUGAAUGUGUGUCAGUACAUGAUCUUUUCUGUUUUCCCCCUAGCUAGCAUUCAUAUAUGUAAGUAUUGUACUCUUUCUAACAGGCUGAAUUUCACGUUGUAUAAUCUGGAAACUAACUAUUGCAUAAAUAAACAGUCAUCCUUACUCAGUAUUUAUGUAUUAAUGUUCUCUGUGGCCCUUACACAUCGUAUCCUGUCUACUAAUCUCAUAUUUUGUAGUAGUUGUCCAGUAUCACCAUUACAUCCAUAAUCCACAAAUGCCCUUUUGGGGUAGAUGUGGUGAUCUCUUCUGGAAUUUAGAUUCUAUUAUUUUGGACACUCUGCUCCGUUGAAACUCGGUGGCCAUCAGAUCAGACUCUGGUUUUAAUGGGCAGCUUCAGGGUAUGUAACUGUGUUAGUGUGACCAGGACAUUCCUCAGACAACAAUAAGAUCACAUGAUACACAACAAUUAACUGGAAUAAUUUUAGCUGGCUCUUCACAUCGAUGUUUGCCUGACUAACCUUGACGGUUGACAUGUUGCCUCAUUAAAUUUGCACGAGCUUGCAAUGUGUAGUGUCUCUUUUUUCCUUUGUAUUCUGCUUUUGUCAUUUACCCAGCCAGGGUUAGAUGUGCACACUUUUCACCUUCUUCGCUUUUAAUAUUAAGUGUUUAAAACAAGACUAUACUUUGUUUGUGAGUAGUUAAGAAAGAAAAACUUCUUUUAGCUAAUUUGGCAGUUCACCCUUCAAAUUGAGCCUUUAAACUGGGAGUAAUUUGAAGGAAUAAUAAUGCACCUACUUGUAAACUUCAACACAACAUCCACAACCAAUUGUACCAGUCAUUCUGCAGUGUUGCACAUUUCCAUUCCAACCGUCUGAAUUUACUACAUAUUUCUUCUUACUGAUACUAAUUAGUAGAAUCAGCUUCUCUAGUGUUUGGAUGAACAGUCUGCAUGCUUGAGGGCCUCUAUGGCAUAUUUUUGGGAAACAGGGCCCUUUAUUAUUCCUCUAUCAUCUUUGCUAUCAAUCUGCAUGCAUUAUUCAUUUAAUCCUCACGGUGGCACUCUACACUGACUGUACCACUGCAGCACACAUAUAUACACACACACACACGUACACAACGUACUGUAAACACAUUGGGCUUGUGUAAUCCCUUUAAUUUUUGAUGAAUCAAAACAAGCACUCACUCUCCUCUUGGGAAAUGUCUGACAGGAUGGAACGGCCCGGCCAAGGAGGUACUGUUGGGGGGGGGGGGCACAGAGAAAAAGUUUACCCAAAGUUUAUGAAUUUGACAUAAUGCUGCCAGCAUUCAUUUUGCGGGUGGUGUGUUUGGUGUGAUGAGGCCAGGGGGGUGGGGGACCACUCAGUGUUGUCAAUCCAACACUGUAGUAAGGUGAGGAGAAUAGUAAUUGGAUUGAGUUUCUGCUGGCUGGAAGAUGAUCCUCGAGUAUUUCAGGAGCAGCAAAGCAAGUGUCACCUUCUGGGCAGGUGGGAGUGACAAUGUUUGUGUAGCAUCUAAAGCCCACAUCUACCACUUCCACUGGUGUACUUUGGACCACCUAGUGAGAUUACACAGUACUUAAGCAGAUAUUUGAUAUUUAUCAUUAUGAGCAUAAUUCUAGCUGUGAAAGAAAGUCAGCAUCUAAAACCUGGUUUGUAUGCUAUCUGGACUGGCCGCAUUCCUAUAAGUUCAUAAAGGUGACAAACUGGAGUUGCAAGCCAAGGUUCAAAAUUGGCCAACCUCAGAACACCACAUUAGUUACAUCACUCUGUGAGUUGGUGCUAUACCAGUCUAUGUCUGAAAAAAUCAGAUGGUUAUUUUGCUUAACCUAUUUUCCAUCAGUAGGUUGCAUCUUCAAAGAUCCAUUUCCUGCAGCCUACCAAUGAGUGUGUUUGUAUGUCGCAAGACUAAUGUGCCAAGGUUUCCAGUAACAUACUAAACACUGCCCUACCCUUUUUUUUAGUUGCUGGACAUGUUUGUACAGUUCAUAUAGCACAGCACAGUAUGUGCUAGUACAGUAGUUUCAUAUUGCUAUAAAGUCAUGGUCCUUUUUCUGCUCUUGUAUUUGGCUCUUAUGGGAAGGUACUGUUGUGGUGGCAGCCCGGCUGAUGGCUCACUCACCCUCGUCCUCUGUCAAGUCAGCUGGGCUCGCUCACCUGCCCUCUCCCCUCGGACCUACCCCACGGCGUCCUCCCAGCUCUCCCUCGUGCCUCCCCAGUCAGCCUGCCACCACAUUCCUCCACCAACCAGUUCUCCCGUGCCUCCUCUCUUCCUCGGCCCCCAGUGUCCCCGGGCUCUCUAGUCUCAGUCUCCUCGGUUCCCUGUGCAUGUGUUUCCCCGGCAUCCACCUCUCCCUCAACUCCAGUCCCUCAACCCCUUCUUUCCCCAGAUAAAACCUGUUUCUCUUGAGCGUUGCAUUUGGGUCCACUCUGUCUACCUCACAACAGGUACCUUGGCACUACAGUGUUGGUCCAAAGUGUGAUGGCAUGAUAACUUGGCAUGAUAAACUCAACCAUGUUACACUGCCAUAGUGGUGAUAAAACUGGAUUUUGGAGUUUAACUUUGCAAAGUUGCCAGGUAGCGCGCCAGCCCUGCAUUCUGAGUUAGCAGGGGAUCCAUAUGUAUCUUCCAGCCGCAGAAACAUUGCGAAAAAGACUCAGAUUUGAGAUGGACCUCUCUUGUUUCUGUCUGAAGCCAGAAACUACUGAACAUCUUUUCUUUUCGUGUCAAAUUACAUUACAGUUCUGGCAAAAUGUGAAAGACUGACUUAAUGUCAGAAUAAAGAACUUUGAAGCACAGCAGAUCUUAUUAUACAACGAUAACCUGUCCAAGGAUAUAUGUGAGAUGGCUAACAUCAUCAUAAUUAUGGGAAAAUAUCAUAUAUGCAAAUGGAAGAAGCAAAAACCUAUGUUGAAUUGUUUCAGGAAUUAAUUAAAGAAUUAUUUAUAUUCCUUACAAGUAUUGUUGGAUACACACCAGCCAAUACAAAAAUUGUGUCACACUAUGCUGCAAUAUUUAGUGUUUAAGGAUAAACAGAUACAAAUCACCUGGAUUACCUCUGUUAUAGGUCUGGAGUGAUAACUGGUUCUCAGAUGUAAUUUAUCUGUAGUUAUAUACAAUCACCAAUAUGUCUACUCUCAGCUAAAACUUGAGAUAGACUCUCAAAACUACAAUGUAUGACAUAGUAAAGUUACGGUGACACAGAAUGAAGAGCUAAACAAUAACUGUUGAGUGAAUGGAAAUAAUGUGCCUUGAUUAUAAUUUCAUAAUUAUCAAUUUUUUUUUUAUUUUGUAUUUUUUUGUGUCCUAAGUUGACCUAACAUGUAAAUUUACUAUCACUAGUAUUGUUGUUAUUAUUUUUUACUGGAGCCUUGCUGUUCUCUUAUGUUUGUAUGGUUUUGCAGAAUGCAAAUAACUUCCUGACUUCCUGAGAUUUUGUACAAUUGUGAAUUGAAGAAAAAAAAUAAAAAAAUAUGUAUCAGUGA